rnacentral:lncRNA from 1 species
GGUAACUUUAGCCCUAACACAGCCCGGGAUGACUUCACGUUUCAUUCCAGAUACCUCUCCUUCAAGGAAAACGUAAUUAACGCCAAUUAAAAGCAUCCGGCAGAAUCGAGGAGUGAGGGCUGCAGGGAUGGGGAGAGCAGAACGCCGACACAGAGCACUGGGGGCGUAACAGCAGUGCUCAGCCUGACUGCCACAUCACCUCCAUUGCAUCGCAUCACCUCCAUCGCAUCACCUCCACAUCACAUCACCUCCAUUGCAUCACCUCCAUUGCAUCACCUCCACCACAUCACAUCACCUCCAUCGCAUCACCUGUGCCCCAGUGCUGCACCCCACCCGGGGGGGGUUAACCCUCCGCCUCCGAUGCCUUCCACACCUGAGAGCUGCUGAGGAUCUCCUUAUGGGGAGGAAGGCUGAAAGUGAAACGGGGCCGGAAAGCCUGGAGUGGAGGGGAAAGGCACUGCAGGCAGAGCAGGAAGGUUAGUGAGGAGUCACAGAGAAGGCGUUUACAGACAGGAAGGAGAAGCAGAGAAGCAAGCAGCACAGCUGAGGUUCG